rnacentral:misc_RNA from 1 species
GGCGAAAUCCCUCAGAGCCUGGCAAAGUUGACAUUUUUGAGCAAUUUAAACUUAUCCUUCAACAACUUGAGUGGGAUAAUCCCUUCCAGCACUCAAUUACAAAGCUUGAGUUCAUCGAACUUCAUGGGCAAUGAGGAGCUUUGCGGACUUCCUCUUAAAAAUUGCAGUGUUGAUCCUGCUACUCCUCCCAUUGGAAUAGAAAGAGGAGAAGAUGACAAAGGUUCUGAAUCAUUUCCUUGGUUCUAUUUCUAUGUGAGCAUCGUGCCUGGAUUUGUGGUGGGGUUUUGGGUAGUGUUGGCUCCUUUAAUGUUUAACAGAAGAUGGAGGCUUUUAUACUUUAAUUUUCUAGAUCGUUUGUGGGAUAAAAUUGUGUGUAGUUUUAUGUAAAUAUUGUUAAAAGUUGUAAAAGGUCGUGGUUUCUAUUGUUUCUAUUAAAAAAAAAAAAAGUGUGAAAUGGGCUAUGCAUGUCUGCAAAAGUGAGUUAGAAAACUUAGCUUUAUAUUUGUCAUGAGGGGUGGCUUUGUAUUGUUGUGCAGUUGUUUUGUAAUUUUGAAUUGUGUUUAAUAAAAAUUGAGAAGUCUUGUGAGGGC